ensembl:lncRNA
GAACAGUAAUCAAUCACCCGGCAUAACGUCCACACUAGUGGCCAACUGGAGAGUAUAGGGAGUCCCACCCUGGCCUCAGCAUCACUGAUGUUUACUCCUGCAUUGCAUUACCUCUAUAUUGAAUUAAUUACUCAUUUCGUCAUUGACCAUAACUAUCAAACUGGGACUUGAUUUUAUUAUUCAUCAACUCUUGCUUUCAGUCAAACGUAUGCUUGCGGAAUACAAUACAAAUGGCGAGAUUCAUAUCUGUUUGGGAUUUGGUCCUAUUAUUCAGAGGAACAACACUUCUAAAACAAUUAUCUCUACGUUGGGAAUGCUUGAGGGUGAGUUUGAGUGUGUGUUUAUUUGUGUGUAUUUCUGAACGUGUAUGUGUGUGUGUGUAAACACGUCUGUGUAUGGCAACGGGGUAACAAACAGGGCUGGGGGCUGAUGCGUGUGUGGCUCAGUGUGCGUUGGCUCUUUGCAGACUGGGGCAGCACGUCAAACACAAGGAGGCGACGGAGCAGAAACUCUACUCUCGCUUCGUCACGGUGCUGAACGAGAAGAAGGCCAAGAUCCGAGGCCUGCGUCACUCCGUCCGUCAGCUCCAGCGCACCGCACACAGCGACGAUGAGGAGGAGGACAAGGAGGAGCAAAGCAACAGAGAAGAUGAAGACGUUACUAGAGAAGAGGAGACGAGGAUAACGCCAUCUCAGCAGCCAACCAUACUCAUUACAGGACGUGAUCUUGUGGCUGGUGGUAUACCCAUGGAUCAGAGCGUCCCCAGAGACCAAGCCUCUGCCCCCAGGAGGAAGCGCCGGUCUCUCCGUGUCCAGACUCGGGAUUCUUCCUCUGACCCGGAGUGAAACCAACGGUGGUCACUUCAAGUACACACGAUCACAACAUCAACAGGAAACACAGCGCAGGAUAUGGGGCAUCAGACUUGUUCUUUAGAUUUAGUGUUGUUUUUGAUAUAAUGUGAUUAUUCUCACAAAUUAUUCAAUAUUAAAUUUGAUGAUGCAUAAAAGUGAAUGUAAUGGGGAACAUGUUUUCAAAUGUUGACAGUGAACGGAAUACGCUUUCUACCCCAUGUGUUUUCAAUUUCAAUGUAUUGCAAUAAAAUCGUAUUUUAUGAAGUGA